rnacentral:rRNA from 1 species
UACGUAGGGUGCGAGCGUUGUCCGGAAUUACUGGGCGUAAAGGGUGCGUAGGCGGUUCGUUAAGUCUGUCGUGAAAUCCCCGGGCUCAACCUGGGAAUGGCGAUGGAUACUGGCGAGCUAGAGUGUGUCAGAGGAUGGUGGAAUUCCCGGUGUAGCGGUGAAAUGCGUAGAGAUCGGGAGGAACAUCAGUGGCGAAGGCGGCCAUCUGGGACAACACUGACGCUGAAGCACGAAGGCGUGGGGAGCAAACAGG